rnacentral:misc_RNA from 1 species
GUUUUCUCGAAGUCCUGCUUAUUAUGGGUUGGCUGAAUAAAGUUUGCUUCUAAAACACCUGGAGUGGAAGGAAAUCGUCAAAUAAUCUCUGUAACCGGGUUAAGGGGAAAAGUGGCACAAGCAUAAGUAACAGUGAAACAAUAAUAAGUGGUUUAGAGGCCUUCUUUACCAACAACUCCUCUGCCUCUACUAUCAGAGUACCUCACAACAUGCCAAAACGGCAGUAUUAAACGAUUUUUGUGGUAGACAUUGAACCCAUGAAUAUUCACAACUGGAGCUUCCUUUAGGAAGCCAAUAGUAGUAAUGACUGAACCCUCUUUGAAUCCAAGAGUUUGGGGCUUAUACAUGAUAAAUUCGGGGUACUUGAGAUCCUUAGCGAUGUUAUGGAGUUCAACAACUCGUCCACGUAACAGAAUACAGAAGUUGUCUGGGAUCCGCAAGUACAACACUGAUAAAUAUGCACGGAGUGAGUAACGAAGACGGUUCGCAAGAUGCUGGUCAGUUACUUUAAUACGAGAGGCAUUGUUCUCAUUAUCGUUUGCCUCACCCGAAAGGCGAAUAUCCUCAGAAUCUGCCUCAAAGUCGAGCUCCA